rnacentral:rRNA from 1 species
AUGGCGUUCUCCGACGAGUACAGGGGCGUGGAGGCCCACGGCAACACCAAGUUGCACGUCAUCCACACCAACUACAAGAAGCAGAUGGCGCUCUCCCUCACGAAGUGCACCGUCUUCGACAACUUCCUCGCCGACCCCAGGUACACCUUUGCUGGCUUCUCCAUCGACGACGACGAAACCAGGCUAGAGCGCGUCAACUUGGAGGUCGCCAACUUCGUCGACAUCCAGAAGGAGUGGAGGGUGCCCAAGGCAACCAAGGAGUUGGAGUCCCUUGGAGACGUCUCCGGCAUGCUCAUCGACGACUACUACGACAACAUGAAGAAGAAGAUCGCCGAAGAUGAACACGGGCGCUGGGCCACCCUGCCUCUGUCCAUGAGGCACAUCGAGUACGCAGAAAAGGACGCCUACGUAGCGUACGAGAUAUGGAACCGCAUCACCCUCACCCAGGACGGGCUUCGCCGUGCAAAGCUAGAGAAGGAGGAGCCCCCCAAGAAGCGCGCCAGGAGCAGUUGGGGAUGGGGAGACGCUACCUGGUGA